rnacentral:lncRNA from 1 species
CUCUCAUGGUUUUUUCAACCCAUCGUACGGAAUACGCCCAAAUGCAAAACUGUAUUUUUCUAGGAGCACUGUUUGCAUGUACGCCUCACGGAAUCCGAUUCAACAAAAAAAGGUAACACGAGGACUCCAACGGAUGAAUUUACAAACUCUCUUGAACGAAACAACAUGCCUACAUUCCAGAAAUUCGGAUGGGGCAUCUGUUCACAAGUGGUGAACCCUGUUGGAUUCAAAUGCCGUUUGGGCUAUGUAUACAUGGAUGUCCUUUAGAUUUCUUUUAUUUUCAAAGUUCCUUGGCGGUUUUGGGUACUGGGGACCUGUACUUGUGAGCGAUUCAAUGAAUGAAAGUGAGAGUGUUGAUGAUGAAAAUGAAGAGAGACAGAGAGCUGCUUUUGUUCAGUGUAGUGACCCUAGUGGGCGAUGAUGGUGGUGUGGUGAUUUAUGCCGGAUGUCAAUGAAUUCAACGGCUGCUAUGGGCUGUGCUGUGAGUGACAAUCCAUUGGGAUGGGGUAGAGCUAGAAACAUCAAAUAGUAGAGAGAGAAGAGAACUCUAAAUUCCAUAAUAUUUUGACAAUGUUAAUUUAUUAUCUGAUAUGAUAUAAUUUAUAAAUAUUUUUAAAUAUAAUUAAAUUAUUUAUUGAAUCUAUGUAUUAAUGUUUGAAAAUACGUCACAUCAGAUAAUAAAUAAAAAACAGUCAGAUAAGCGUAAUAUUGUUUGAUAUUAAUGCUGUUAAAUAAUGAGAAGAAGGAUUUUAAAUAAUGAUUAAUAAAUGUCCCUUUUAUCUUAAAUUACUGAACUCCACCAAUAACUAAUACCCUGAUACAAAGUUGUGUUUGAAACAUAGAUUCAGUGAGAAAAAAUUAUAUGAAAAUAUAAAAGUUAAACGAUUUAAUUAUUCAAAACUAUAAAAUAAUAUAUCUUUUUCAUUUUAGUUUUCCUUUUUCUAGCCAGAUCCUUUAUCCAAAGAAGCUGCCUCCCUGUGGUUGAAUACUCGAACGUGGAAUAUCAUAAAAACAGAAAAAAUAAGAAAAACAAGGGUAAAUUAUAAGAAUGGUCCCUGUAGUUUUGCAUAUUUUCAAUUCUGGUCUUUGUAUUUUUAAAUUAUGUGAUUUUGACUUUGUAUUUUACAUUUAUUGUCAAAUUAGUCCAAUUGAUAGUGAAAUUUAGAAUUUUGGAUGAAUUUUGAAUACAUGAACAACAUUUUUCUGGUGAUUUACAAUGGAAUUGGAUAUAUUACAGUAGGGUUUGAAUGAUUUAUCGUGAAAAUUGGGUGAAAAUGGGAGAAAAGUUCAAUUUUAUCUCUAAAAUACUGGUAUAUGUCAUAAAAGUAUAAACAAAUGUCCAAAAACAUAACGGCCGUUACUAAUUGGACUGAUUAUAACAAAAAAUAAAAAUAAAAACUUCUGAAUUUAAAAAUAUAAGGAUCAAAAUUUAGGACAAGUAAAAAUACAGGGACACUGUUUACAAUUUAUCCGAAAAACAAAAAAACCUGCCUCCAUCCACACACACACACACACUCUCCACUACCAAUAUAUACGUACCCACUUCUCCCUCUCUCCACCCAAUCUCACAACACCCAAAAAAUUGAGGUUUUGGCUGAUAUCUCCUCUCUCUCCGGGAGCCACCCUGACGCCGAUUCCUAGCUGAGGCGGCAGCGGAGAUCUAAGCUCUGUCAUAAGUAGAGAGAGCAAGGGGAUUUAUAGCUAUGAUUCUUUUGUUUCUGCUGCUUGAGGUCUUUGGGACUUUUGGAAACACUGGUGAUGCUGUGACCAGGAAGAGAGAGGUUGCUGCUUUUCUCGCUCAAACUUCACAUAAAACUACUGGUAAUUUCAAACAUGUUUUUUAUAUAACAAUUAUUAUGUACCAAAAAACAUUUUAAGGACAGCGACUAGUCGCGUCUAAGUGUCUUCCAUCGGUCUUAGGACCAAUUUUUGUUUUUAUAACUCAGUUUUGGUCGAGUCGGGUAAAGUUUCGUAUGGACAGACUCAACUCAAAAAUUAAUUGAUAGCACUUAAAAAGUUUCGAACUAAAGAAUUAAAAUGGAAUAGAUCUCCAAGUCUCAGGCUUAAAUCAUCAAUUUCACAGCUUGUUUUAUUAAGAUCCAGUUUUGUUUUCAGUGAACUUUUUUGGCAUUUAAUUAAAAAUUUAUACUUUUUCAGUUUCUUUUGACGAGAAGAGCUCGAAAAUAAAAAAUAAUCUAAUUUGAAAAAAAAUAUACUAAAUUCGAAAAAAAAUCAUUUUAGAUGGUUUUUCGGAUAAAAAUAAUUUCAUUCGUCUUGAGUAACCUUUUUUUCUAAAUUAGAUGACAAUUUUUAUGUAAUAAUUAUAAAUACAAUUUUAAUAAUUUAUUAAAAUUAUUGAGUUUACAAAAAAAGAAAUGUCUAGAAAUGUCUUUUUUCGUCAAUAAGUUUUUUUUUAAAUUAGAUAAUUAUUUUAUAUAUUUUUGAACUCUUCUCGUCAAGAAAAAAUAAAAAAUUUGUGGUAUUAGAGAGCUGCUUUUGUUCAGUGUAGUGACCCUAGUGGGCGAUGAUGGUGGUAUGGUGAUUUAUGCCGGAUGUCAAUGAAUUCAACGGCUGCUAUGGGCUGUGCUGUGAGUGACAAUCCAUUGGGAUGGGGUAGAGCUAGAAACAUCAAAUAAUAGAGAGAGAAGAGAACUCUAAAUUCCAUAACAUUUUGACAAUGUUAAUUUAUUAUCUGAUGUGAUAUAAUUUAUAAAUAUUUUUAGAUAUAAUUAAAUUAUUUAUUGAAUCUAUGUAUUAAUUUGAAAAUACGUCACAUCAGAUAAUAAAUAAAAAACAAUUAGAUAAGCGUAAUAUACAAUUAGAUAAGCGUAAUAUUGUUUGAUAUUAAUGUUGUUAAAUAAUGAGAAGAAGGAUUUUAAAUAAUGAUUAAUAAAUGUCCCCUUAUCCUUAAAUUACGACUCCAACAAUAACUAUACCUUGAGGCAAAACUGUAUUUUUUUUAUACUGCAAUCUCUAACUUAAUAUAUAAAUACAACUUAUGACAUAGUACGGAAGUUAAUAAAGAAGAGUAAAGGAAACACAUAAAUUAGAAAAACGUCCUAUUAAUCUAAGGAAGGAAUCUUCCUAAUUCCAACCGUAAGUAUAACACAACUUUCAAAGUACCCAUAAAAAAGCUCACACGUCGAUUUAUAGGAAGUAUUGGGAUCAUUUAACUAAAGAGCAAUUGGCAAAGCCUCAAAGCUAUGCAGAUUGCAUCCAUUAGUGUCGUCCCGGAGUUCCGAUGUUUGGAAUCAAUUCCUCUACACCUACCUUUCAAGUUAUCGAUAGAUCGAAAACAGAAAUAUAAAUGCGGGCUGAUAUCAAUAUUUACAGCAUGAAUUUUGUAAAAUCACCCAUUCUAGGUUAGGUGUAGUAGCAUGUGAUUUUAAAUGCAUUGAAUUUGAAAAAAUGACAGUAAAUCCAGGAACAGUCCCAAGGGGUCGCAGCCCCAAACUUUGACAAAUUUAUAAUAUUAAUCGCAUCUUAUUUCGAAUUCAAAAACUAUCUCUUACUAUUUACGGGUAAAAUCUAUUUGGGUUAAUCCAACGGCUGAGAUUUCAUCUAAAAUUAUUUUUUUCUCUCAAAACUAUAUUUCCAGUCUUUUUUCAAGAUGUUGAGCCCCACAUAAAUUCCAAUGGCAAAACUCUAAAAGUUAUGGCAUAUAUUUUAUCUAUUGAAUCAUUUUUUAGUAGAACCCACAUACAUAAAAAAAAUUUAUUUCUCCUUUAUUUCUCUCAAACUAGCAAUACUUUUUCAAAAUCAAUAUAUUUUCUAAUUUAUUUUUUAUUUUGUAGCAAUAUAUCUCUUCGUAUAUACAUCCAAUGUAUCUUUUAUCUGAUUUUUAUAUCUUAUCUGUUUUGUAAUUUGUAAAACUCUAACGAGUACGCCUAAGAGGUAAUUUUUUUUGAGCAGUGCCUAUAGGCAUGAGCAAUUACUAGUGCUCAAUAACGCAAUAUAAUUUUUGAUAUUUACAUGGUAAGUAUGCACAUCCCUAAUAAUUUAGUUUAAUGCCUCCAAAAUUUAAACAAAUAUUUAUCCUAGGCUCCGUUUGGAUAUGUAGAUUUCAAAUCAAGAAAUUUUAUAUUUUAUUUAAUAAAAAUAACUUACAUUAAGAUUUAGUAGUCGACGUAGAGAUUUCGAGCUUGAAUUUGAGAGUUUUAUUAUUAUGUAAUAUGAUGAAUUUAAAAUAACAAAUUAAUAAGAGAGAUUUAAAAUCUUUUAUACAAAUGCUUAAAAUACCCUUCCCAAAGAAAAAGAAAGAAAUAAAAGUGUAGUUGUAUGAGAAGGAAUAAUUCCGGUAAUGAGCAAAAAUAUUAAGGAUAUUAUUGUAAUCUUACAUAUAAAAAUAAAAAAUAUUUAAUAAAAAGUAUAGUGCAUAAAUCCCUAACCUAUUAAAAACUAAUAAUUCUUCUUAGGUAAGGACCUCUUGUACUGAAGAUUUGAAGCUUCUAGCUUGAUUUUUUCUCACAGCUUUGUGGUCAACUCUCACCAUUCCUCCUUUCGCCUCCCCAUACGUUUUCUUACAUUUUGGUCCGUAAUACAUGUGAAUACACAUUGAUGAAAGUCGUCAUUCACGUAGCCGCCCGAGUAACUAUUCUCAGUCUAUGAGUACAAUAUGUAUACACGGGUGUACUGUACGUAACAUUUUUACAACCUGACAUUUACAAUAACACUAAAUCAUAAAGAUUAAAGACAAAAAAUUCACACAACAAAACCCAGAAGAAUUCAGUGUACAGACUUUCUAAAAUUCUUUUGAUUUUCAGAAUUUAUUCAAAAAAAUAUGUUCAAACUCCAAAAACUUAUUAAAUAUCAUUGCAGUCUAUGUACCGGUUGAGGAGGAAUUUUGCGUAACCUUUGUGUGCAGUACGUCAAAGACGCCAAUACAGCCUCCCGAGAACGUACAAUAGAAUGAGUAUUGACUUGUCAGAUGUUCAGAUUUUACACAAUUUGGAUACAGGAUACAGCGUUACAAGUUCUUUCCAGCCAGCCGGUUUGGUACUGAGUUUAGCUCCUAUGGCGUCGAUCCGAAUAUAUUUUGCAAAUAUUUUGAUGAUACAUAUUUCUAUCUUAUUGCUCUUAAUGGUAGUAGUAAUUCAAGUAUGUUAGUUCAUCUCAAAAUUAUUCCAAGAGUCACAGCCAUUCUCACAAGGACACAAAAAGAAACACGAAAUAUUUGGGACUGCCAACAAGAAACCUUCAACACUGAAGGAUCAAAAAAUGGAAAACCGUUGUUCAGGUGUGUAUUAUUUUGUAAAUGCUCUUAGUAAUGGUUUACAACAAUUUUGUUAGGGCGUCUAAAAAAUGCUACCGUAAUAUAGUCCUUUCAUGGCCGCAUUAAUUAAAAAUACAAUAAGUGCAUUAAAACUUAGAUUUAUUACAAAAAUGUGCUACAAGCAAAAAUGUAUGUUCAUUUUGAAUAUUUACUAUGUCAAUGUGUGUAAAAAAUUGGGCUAGUUGACAAUAAUUGUUUUGACAUUGUGUUGCAAAAGCAUUUGUUUCAAUUUUGUAAAAACUAUUGCUAGCAACAAUUUUUGACUUUGAAAAUUGAUUCCAAGUUUUGAAAACAUAAUGUUAGCAACAUUUUCUGACUUGAAAUUUGGUUCCAAGUUGAAAAAUAUGUUAACACAAAUAAAGAGAACAAAUUUCUGACUUGAAAAUUUGGGUUCCAACUUUCUGACAAAUUGGAUAGGCACCUAUUUUCUGACUUUGCAAAAUUUGGUUCCAACUUCUGAAAAAAAUUGGAUAGCAACAAUUUACUGACUUUGAAAAAUGUGGUUAACAGAGCUGAGCGUGUUGAAAUUGGUAUAAUAAUUUCCUGACUUUGAUAUAAAUGUGGUUGCAUACUUUUGCCAAAAAUUGAAUAGCACCAUUUUUCUCAUUUUCGACUUUGAAUGUGGGUUGGAACUUUGAAAAUUUGGUACAGUAUAAUUUUCUUUCUGACUUUUGAAAAUGUGUGUGUGUGGCCAACUUUUGAAUUAGAGAAUCAAAAAAAAAAUAAAGAAUAGCAACCCAUUUCUGACUUGACAUGGUAUUUUCAAAUUUGAAAAUUGGCGUAAGAAAACUAGCAAAACUUCAAAUUCCAUCUUACCAACUCGGUUAUAGUUCUUCCUAGAAGCUAUAAAAUCAUAUCCUUUACGCUCUCAUUUUUUAUCUUGGAAUCUUAUGGAGAAUCAAAGAACUCAAAGCAUUCUUCAUUCUUCAUUUUCCAAAAUUCCCCUUUGAGCCUUCAAUUUAUUCAUACAAGAGUUCUCGUGAGAGAGACAUUGUAAAAGCUUCAUUUGUAUAUCCUUCUCAAAAGGAGAAUUGUUAUUGUGAGAGAAAUCUCAAAUCUAUUUCAGUCGAUUGUAUCUAGAGGGUUGUUUUGACCCUGUUUAGGUGUGAAGGAAAUUUUCCACCUUGUGAGAAGAGUGUGUACUCUUGCGUGUAAGGUUUGAACUCCACCUGCACAGGAGUUUGGCGGAUUAGUGUUGAUUGAAAUCUUCAAGUGUUGUGCUUUGGGAGUGACGUAUGUCAGGAAGACCGAACCACUAUAAAUUAUAGCCGAGUUUUGAUCUCUUUCCUUCUCGUUGUAUUAGUGUGCUCAUAUUUAUACGCUCGGUGCAUUAUACUGCUUUUUAUAUCAUUUGGAAACUCUUAAUUCAGUAUAAUUUAUUAAAAGAAAAGUUUUGCCAACAAACCCUAUUCCCCCCCCUCUAGGGUUAAUUUCUGGGUAACAAGUGGUAAUCAAGCAGGACUCUACAUUUUUCGGUAUCUAAAACGAUCUAGGAUUAAAAAGAUCUAUGGCCACAUAAUAGGAACACAUAUGGCCGAAUGCCAUUCCAUACAUAGACUCUGCUUUCCACUUAUUCGUCCGGAUAGUAAUUUAUAGAUUAUUGUGAAGGCUAGAAUUAAAAUUUUAUAUUCAGUGCCAAUGAUUAUGCAUGUUUGUCGAGCAUUAACAAAGCAUGGACCUAUUGCGUCCCACAAAAUAACUGAAAGUGGAGAGUGGUUACUAUAAACCUCAAAGAAUGGACUAUCGUAGAUACAAAAGCACAUGUAACAAAAUAAUGCUCAAGCCAACUUACACCACUUUUUAUAUUGUGCCUUACAGACGUAACGCAUUAAAUAAAUCUCCGGUGGUGAAACGGCUAAGGAAAUUGUUGGGAUAAGACACGUAAGAAUCCACCCAUGCGAACUGGACCAUCAAGUAAAAGGAAUCAAAAAUAAGUAUGUUAGGUUCAUUAAUACGAAUUUUUAAAAAUGAAUCAAGUGAUACUAAUGUAUCUGCAAUGUGUUCUACCUCGUUUUUUUAACCGAUAUGAUGUGUUCAUUAAUGGAGUGUAAGAGUCGCGCUGUAAAGUUUGUAUACAAUGUCGAAAUGGUGCGAGUAAUGCAUUGCUUAGGUGUCAUUAUCCACAAGAAGUUGGGAGACCAAACGUAUACCUGCCAUUGAAGAAUGCCAAAAGUAGCCCAUCACCAAAAAUGGGUCUUGAUGAAUUGGCUUGGAUCUCUCAUACACUGAAAUCACCUUGAGAGCAAUGAGGAAAAUGACGAAGGUAAAAAAAGAGAGAAAUUGCUUUCAAACCUCAUCAGCACAAACAAUGAUGAACCUCAACAUGAAUGAGGAAGUGAUGAAGAUAUGGCUCUCUUAAACGAAGAUUUACAGAUUUCAAAAGAGGUCAUUUCCUAGAAGACAAGGACGACCGAAACUUCGACAAAAAUGAAGACAAAAGAAGGACCCCCCAUCAUUUGCUUUGAAUGCAAAAAGCCCGGUCACAUGAAAGUUUGAUUGGCCAAAUCUCAAGAAAGAUCAAACGAGAUAGAGAAAUAUCAAAUUUGAAAAAUUCAAGAAGCUUUUCGGCUUGGGGAGAAAUUGACGUUGACACAUCCGAUGAUGAGUCCGGUGAUUCAAGAAGUGGCAAUUGUGUUCUUGUUCCUCAAGAAGAUAUAAAAAUGAGGUACAAUCUCGAAUCCAUUCCUUAAAUGAUUUACAAGAUGAUUAUGAUGAUUUAUAUUAGGGAAUCAUUGAAAUUAAUAACAAACAUUGCAUGCUUUAAAACAAUUGCCAUCACUUUCUAUUGAAAUAGAAACCUUUUGAAGAAGCUGGCUAAUGAGUGACAAGUAAAUAUUGAACUACUGAUACAAUUUUAGAUCUAACAAAAUGUCUUGGAAAAAUUUACAAAAGUCAAAAGAUUUUGGAUCUACUUCUUGGAUCACAAAGAUGUGUAUAUGAUCCGUGCGGGAUUGGACACAAUAUUCAACUAACAAAAUUAUAUAAAUAUCUUUGUGUGAAUCAACUUCUUUUUCGACCACAAAAAUUUCAUGCACAGAUUGCAAUCCUAAGGGCAUACUCAAAAACAUGCUAUGUGAAGAAUGUGUUAGGUAAAGGAUUAAAAAACAAUAUGGGGACCUAAGAAGAAAAAUGCUACUAACAUUCAAGGACCCAACCAGAUUUGGGUACCAAGACAAUGGUUGAUCUUGUAUAAGGUUGCUGAAUGAAUUCAAAGAAAGGAGGAGGGGGGGGGGGGGGGGUGGUACUUGUAGUGGAUGCUCAAGACAUUGACUCGGAGAAUAAAUCCACCUUUCGCAUACUAAUCCAAAGGAUGUGGAUUUGUGACCUUCGAGACAAUAGCAAGGAAAAAUCUCGUAUAGUUAAUGGGGUAGGAACCUUCUCCUUUAUAUAAAAUGUUUACUUGUUGAUGGAUUAAAGCAUAACUUUACUUAGUAUUAGUCAUAUGUGAUACGGAAAAUAAAGGCAUCUUUGACAAAUAUGUGCCCAUAGAAAAAUAUCAAAGAUGAUAAAACUUAUUUAAUUGUCAAAGAAUUGAAAUGUAAUUUUUUUUGUUAAAAAUUGAUGACGUUGAGCCAACAAAUGGACUUGCUUAUCAGCCAUGAAUGACAAACGGUUGGCUAUGGCCAUAAAGGCCUUGGGCAUUCUCUAUAGAUCUUAUUUCAAAACUUGCUAAAAGGAUUGGUAAUUGGGCUAACCAAAAAUUUCUUUUGAAAAGAUAGUUGUGUGGAGCAUGUCACCAAGGACAACAAACAAAGUGUCUUUUAAGUCAAAAAUAUCGUUUCUUCUCUCUCUUCUAACAUCUAAGGCCUCUACAACUUCUACACACAUGGACCUUAAUUGGUCCUUCAAGACAAUGAAGUUCGUGAGGAAAUUAUACAUUCUUGUGAUUUGUGAUGAUUUUUUCUCGAUUUACAUGGUAACAUUUUUAGCUCACAAAAAUUAAGCAUUUUCCUCAUUUCACAAAAACUUGCCGACGUCUCAAAUGAUAAAGAACUAAGACCUCAAAAUUUCUACAUUAGAACCGAUCAUGGGAAAGACUGAAAUUGAGUCUUUUUGCCAAAUUUUGUGAUAUCUCGGAUUGGACUAAUUUCUCGGCACCUAGGACCCCUCAACAAAAAGGCUUGUUGAAAGAAAAAAUAGAACUUUGGAAGAAAUGGCAAGAACAAUGCUUUGCGAAAACUCUCGUCCAAAAUAACUUUGGGCUUAAAAGCUGUGAACACGCAUGCUUUAAUUUAAUCGAGCCAUGAUUUAGGCCAAUCUUAAAAGACACCUAUGAGCCUUUGGAAAGAAGAAACCAAAUAUUGGGUUCUUUCAUUGCUUUGGAUGCAAUGCUUAUGUCCCUAAAUAUGGGAAGGACAACUAGGAAAAUUCGAUCAAUCGGAUGAAGCUUUUUCUAGGAUAUUCAAUUACAACACAGCUUUUUCGAGUUUUUAACAAACGAACUUUAGUAGUUGAAGAAUCCUGCAUGUUGGUAUUUGAUGAAUAUAAUGAUCCUUCUUUUCAAGUGCUUCAAGAAAGUUAGGAAUUGAAAAGCAUGGAAAAUAUUGAAAUCUCUCAAGAACGCAGAUACUCAAGGAGAAGCCACUGAAAAACAAAUUGCAACUAGAGGUAGUACUUACCUCAAAUUGAAAAUCACGUGGGAAACCUCAAAAGCAAAGAAGGUGGAAGCUCACAUCUCCCAAAGAAUGGAGAUAUGUUUUUCACAACCACCAACAAUCUCAUUAUUGGUGAUCCAUCAAAAGGGUAACUACUAGAACUCUAUAAAAUUUAUUGGGCAUCUUGCAUUCUAUUCUCAAUAGAACCUAAAAUUUUCAUGAAGCUGAAUUUGAUGAAUAUUGGCUUCUAGCUAUGCAAGAGAACUCAAUCCAUUCGAAAGAAAGCAAGUUUGGACUCUAGUACUAGGCAUCAAAUCAUCCUCAUAUUGGCACUAAAUGGUAUUUAGAAAUAAACUUGAUGAAUCCGGAAUCAUUGUUAGAAAUAAAGCUAGACUUUUGGCCCAAGGAUAUAGUUCAAGAAGAGGAAUAGAUUUUGAUGAUAAUUUGCUCUCCCGUAGCUAGAUUGGAAGCUAUUUCGAAUGUACAGCCUUUGCAUGCUAAUAUGGACUUCAAUUAUAUCAAAUGGAUGUAAAAAGUGCAAUUCUUAAAUGGAUUUAUUACCGAGGAAGUGUUGUGCCACCUCGCCGGGUUUGGAGAAUCAUGAAUUGCCCAAUCAUGUCUUUAACUUUCAAAGCACUCUAUGGACUUAAGCAAGCUCCAAGACGUGGUAUGAAAGACUUAGCAAAUAAUUUAAAUGAUACUAGUUUUUGGCAAGAGGGAAAAUAGAUAAUACACUUUUUAUAAAAAUUGAAGAAUAAGGACAUGCUCAUCGUCCAAGAUAUGUUGAAUGAUAUUAUAUUUGGUGCUACUAUGAGAAUAUUGCAAAGAAUUUGGCUAAAGAGCAUGCAAAGGAGAAUUCGAUGACAUAUUGGGGAGGCUAACUUUCUUCCUUGGACUAACAAAUCAAACAAUCAAGCGAAGGGACAAUUUAUAAUCAGCAAAUACACAAAGGAGCUUCCUCAAGCGUUUGGCAUGAUAGAAGCAAAACCGCUAGGCACCACCGAACCCCAUAUGGGCACAUCAAUAAGCCUUGACAAAGAUGAAAUGGUAAAAAUGUUGAUGAACAAGCCUCUAAUCGAGGUAUGAAUUGGCUCUUUUGCUCUAUUUAAAACAAAACGGAAGUAGGCCGGAUAUCAUGUUUUAGUGUAUGCCAUAUGUGCUAGAUUUCAAUCAUGUCCUAAGGAAUCAACUUUAAGUUUGCUGUGAAACGCUAUUUAGAUAGCUCAUAGAAACGUAUGACUUAGGAAUAUUCAUCCUAGGGUAGUUGCAUUUGAAUUAAAUGAUUCCUCCGAUGCCGACUAUACGCCGGAUUGUAGAUAGAUCGAAAGAGCACAAGUGGCACUUGCAUUCCUAGGACACUCUCUAGUGUCAUGGUCUAGCAAGAAACAAAAUUCCGUUGCUUUAUCAACCGCCGAGGCGGAAUAUGUGGCCGCGGAAGUUGUUGUGCCAUUCCUUAUUGGAGGAAACAACAAUGGAGGAGUAUGGUUUAAUUUGAUCAUAUUCCCAUCAAAUGUGAUAAUACACGUGCUAUAAAUUUUGUCUAAGAGCCCCAAUUAAUACAACACUCAAAGAACAAACCUAUUGAAAUUCGACAUCUCAUUUUUUAAAGAUCACGUCCCAAAGGGGGAUUUGACUUCAAUAUAUUCCUACCGACAAGCAUUGGCGGCUAUUUUUAACAAAACCCCUUGAUUGAAAAAAGAGAUUUUGCUAUAUUCCGAACUGAACUGUAAUGGUCUAAACCAAGUGAUAUUUUUGGAUCUUAAAAUAAAUUUAUAAGUAUAAGUUGAGUCAUAGUUGAGAAAGAAUAGUUCGGGACUGAAUGUAUUCAAUGCCUAAUCUCCGACAAACAAUUUUUUUCCUUUCUUUGAAUUGUUAUCUUGAUUUGAUAUGUGAUAAAUAAGAUUAUCAAAAAGCUGAGGUACUGAUAUUAUGAUAAGAACUAUGAGAUCUCUAUAUGCUUAUAUGCGAAAAUGUAAGUAUGUAAUGUCUGACAAUGAGAGUUGUUCUUUAUUUUGAUAAAACUAUCCCUUUUGAUAAUUUCAAAACUCCUCUAAAUGAAAGAAUUUUAAGAUUUGAGGUUUUAGUGCAAAAAUCUUUUGGUUUAUUCACCACUCAAAUUAUCUUUCGUUAAACAUCCUAUGUGUUUAAUUGGUAUCUAAUACUAGCAUGUGAGAUAACAAGAAAAUAUUCUUGGUCAAAAAUUUUUUAAAAAAACUCCUUCAUUAUGUUUUCAUAUGUGAUUGUUUGAUUAGUUGAAAUACAUGCAUAUCAUCAUACUUAUGCACCAACUUAGGGGAGCACUACAUAUUGGUACCACUUUGGUAGGGUAUCCUACAUUUACCUUCAUUGAAAUUAGACAUCAUAUCUUUAUUUCGUGAUCCUGUCAAAAAGAAGAUGUAGACCUAGAUUUUAUAAGUACUGGAUUUCAAUGGGUUGACAUCUUCAUAAAACCACUUCAAGAGAUCGUUCUGCAACCAUUCGAAGAGACCUUGGUAAAUGUGUAGACCACAAAUAUUAACAUAAUAUUUUAGGUUAUUUAUUUUAUAUUUUUUUAUAUAGAAUAAUUUACUAUUAUUCUGAAUCAAAUUACCUGUUUAAGUUUUCAAGAAAAUCUUAGCUUUUUCGGACUUCAA